rnacentral:rRNA from 1 species
GCUGACGAGUGGCGGACGGGUGAGUAAUGUCUGGGAAACUGCCUGAUGGAGGGGGAUAACUACUGGAAACGGUGGCUAAUACCGCAUAACGUCGCAAGACCAAAGAGGGGGACCUUCGGGCCUCUUGCCAUCAGAUGUGCCCAGAUGGGAUUAGCUUGUUGGUGAGGUAACGGCUCACCAAGGCGACGAUCCCUAGCUGGUCUGAGAGGAUGACCAGCCACACUGGAACUGAGACACGGUCCAGACUCCUACGGGAGGCAGCAGUGGGGAAUAUUGCACAAUGGGCGCAAGCCUGAUGCAGCCAUGCCGCGUGUAUGAAGAAGGCCUUCGGGUUGUAAAGUACUUUCAGCGGGGAGGAAGGUGUUGUGGUUAAUAACCGCAGCAAUUGACGUUACCCGCAGAAGAAGCACCGGCUAACUCCGUGCCAGCAGCCGCGGUAAUACGGAGGGUGCAAGCGUUAAUCGGAAUUACUGGGCGUAAAGCGCACGCAGGCGGUCUGUCAAGUCGGAUGUGAAAUCCCCGGGCUCAACCUGGGAACUGCAUUCGAAACUGGCAGGCUUGAGUCUUGUAGAGGGGGGUAGAAUUCCAGGUGUAGCGGUGAAAUGCGUAGAGAUCUGGAGGAAUACCGGUGGCGAAGGCGGCCCCCUGGACAAAGACUGACGCUCAGGUGCGAAAGCGUGGGGAGCAAACAGGAUUAGAUACCCUGGUAGUCCACGCCGUAAACGAUGUCUACUUGGAGGUUGUGCCCUUGAGGCGUGGCUUCCGGAGCUAACGCGUUAAGUAGACCGCCUGGGGAGUACGGCCGCAAGGUUAAAACUCAAAUGAAUUGACGGGGGCCCGCACAAGCGGUGGAGCAUGUGGUUUAAUUCGAUGCAACGCGAAGAACCUUACCUGGUCUUGACAUCCACGGAAGUUUUCAGAGAUGAGAAUGUGCCUUCGGGAACCGUGAGACAGGUGCUGCAUGGCUGUCGUCAGCUCGUGUUGUGAAAUGUUGGGUUAAGUCCCGCAACGAGCGCAACCCUUAUCCUUUGUUGCCAGCGAUUCGGUCGGGAACUCAAAGGAGACUGCCAGUGAUAAACUGGAGGAAGGUGGGGAUGACGUCAAGUCAUCAUGGCCCUUACGACCAGGGCUACACACGUGCUACAAUGGCGCAUACAAAGAGAAGCGACCUCGCGAGAGCAAGCGGACCUCAUAAAGUGCGUCGUAGUCCGGAUUGGAGUCUGCAACUCGACUCCAUGAAGUCGGAAUCGCUAGUAAUCGUGGAUCAGAAUGCCACGGUGAAUACGUUCCCGGGCCUUGUACACACCGCCCGUCACACCAUGGGAGUGGGUUGCAAAAGAAGUAGGUAGCUUAACCUUCGGGAGGGCGCUUACCACUUUGUGAUUCAUGACUGGGGUGAAGUCGUAACAAGGUAACCGUAGGGGAACCUGCGGUUGGAUCACCUCCUUACCUUAAAGAAGC